GGGCCGCUAGCUCAACUGGCAGAGCAGCGGACUUUUAAUCCGUUGGUUCAGGGUUCGAGCCCCUGGCGGCCCA
rnacentral:tRNA from 1 species